CAGUAGCCGCGGUAAUACCGAGGGUGCAAGCGUUAAUCGGAAUUACUGGGCGUAAAGCGUGCGUAGGCGGCUUCUUAAGUCGGAUGUGAAAUCCCUGAGCUUAACUUAGGAAUUGCAUUCGAUACUGGGAAGCUAGAGUAUGGGAGAGGAUGGUAGAAUUCCAGGUGUAGCGGUGAAAUGCGUAGAGAUCUGGAGGAAUACCGAUGGCGAAGGCAGCCAUCUGGCCUAAUACUGACGCUGAGGUACGAAAGCAUGGGGAGCAAACAGGAUUAGAUACCCCAGUAGUCCCUGUCUCUUAUAC
rnacentral:rRNA from 1 species